AACAUCGCGCACCUGCGGGAACCUGCGGAAGGAUCAUUACUGAGUCACGUGCUCAAACAACCCUUCUGUGGACCUGAAAUAAAACCGUUGCCUCGGCGGGCGGUCCCCCCCAAACCAACCCCACGUGGUGGGUUAGGGGAGACCAGACAGUCCGGUACGCUUAAGGCGUCCGGCGCCAGCCGCUGGCCCCAAACAAUUAAACUCUAGUAACCUUUACCUUCUGAGUUUCAAUAUUUAAAA
rnacentral:misc_RNA from 1 species